rnacentral:tRNA from 1 species
GCCUUCGUAGUGCAGUGUUCAGCUCGCUAGGCGCGUAUUCGAGAGGUCCGCGGUUCGAGUCCCGGCGAGGGCA